rnacentral:lncRNA from 10 species
AACCGCGCCGGAGUCGCAGCGAGCGCGUGCGCACUGCCUUCCGGAGGCCGGGAGGCGGAAGUCCAAGCAGGGAGAGCGCUUGUGACGCUACGAACCUCUCGAACACCUGACGACUGGGCGCCAGGGCCGGAUGGAGGGUGGAGAGCCAGUGCGGCGCAGCUGCCUCCUCUUAACGGGGACACCUUGCAGGAAUGUGCGGAGUGGAGCUAACGGGAGCGGAUAGAAACCGAGGGAGGGGAAGAGAGCGCGAAGGCUUGGCCGGAAGGAGAGGUUAAAAAGGAAAGGCCUAAAAUGAGGAAGAGAGUUACCACAACAAGCAGUACCUAGUUCCAGUUCUUGGUCCCAGGAGUUUGUGGUUGUUGCUGCUUUCAUCUUCCUCAGCCAACACAAAAGGAAAGUGCCAAGGGGCGAUUCCUAGGACCUUCAGUGCAGUCUCCACCUUGCGGACUUGGCUCAUUUGUGUCCACUCCUUUCUCCAGCCUUUUACACUUGAUGCUCUUGGAUGAAUAGAAAGGAGCACAAUUAAUGGAAAACACAAGCUUGGGAGUCAAGGGAUUUGGGUUCUAUUCUUGUCCUCCCUUGGUGACGACAUCAUUACCUUGGGUUAUUCAAGCUUUCAGUGCCAGAGUUCCUAUAUCAAUAAAAGAUUAUUACAUU